AGGACGAACGCUGGCGGCGUGCUUAACACAUGCAAGUCGAACGGUGAUCCCUGCUUCGGUGGGGUGAUCAGUGGCGAACGGGUGAGUAACACGUGAGCAACCUGCCCUUGGCUUCGGGAUAACUCCGGGAAACCGGGGCUAAUACCGGAUGUGACGCGCCCGCGCAUGCGGUGUGUGUGGAAAGAUUUUUUGGCCAGGGAUGGGCUCGCGGCCUAUCAGCUUGUUGGUGGGGUGAUGGCCUACCAAGGCGACGACGGGUA
rnacentral:rRNA from 1 species